GACGAACCGUCCAAACGUUAUUCGGAAUCACUGGGCUUAAAGGGUGCGUAGGCGGUCCGGGAAGUUGGGUGUGAAAGCCCUCAGCUCAACUGAGGAAUUGCGCCCAAAACUGCCGGACUCGAGGGAGACAUAGGUGAGCGGAACUUAGGGUGGAGCGGUGAAAUGCGUUGAGAUCCUAAGGAACACCAGUAGCGAAAGCGGCUCACUGGGUCUCUUCUGACGCUGAUGCACGAAAGCUAGGGGAGCGAAG
rnacentral:rRNA from 1 species